rnacentral:rRNA from 1 species
UGCGCAGGUGGGAAUGUAAGUCAGUGGUGAAAUACUGCCGCUUAACGGUAGAAUUGCCAUUGAUACUGCACUUCUUGAGUAUGGUUGAGGUAGGCGGAAUGUGUCGUGUAGCGGUGAAAUGCAUAGAUAUGACACAGAACGCCGAUUGCGAAGGCAGCUUACUAAGCCAUUACUGACACUGAGGCACGAAAGCGUGGGGAGCGAACAGGAUUAGAUACCCUGGUAGUCC